UGGGGAAUCUUCCGCAAUGGACGAAAGUCUGACGGAGCAACGCCGCGUGAGUGAUGACGGCCUUCGGGUUGUAAAGCUCUGUUAAUCGGGACGAAUGGUUCUUGUGCGAAUAGUGCGAGGAUUUGACGGUACCGGAAUAGAAAGCCACGGCUAACUACGUGCCAGCAGCCGAGGUAAUACGUAGGUGGCAAGCGUUGUCCGGAAUUAUUGGGCGUAAAGCGCGCGCAGGCGGAUUGGUCAGUCUGUCUUAAAAGUUCGGGGCUUAACCCCGUGAUGGGAUGGAAACUGCCAAUCUAGAGUAUCGGAGAGGAAAGUGGAAUUCCUAGUGUAGCGGUGAAAUGCGUAGAUAUUAGGAAGAACACCAGUGGCGAAGGCGACUUUCUGGACGAAAACUGACGCUGAGGCGCGAAAGCCAGGGGAGCGAACGGG
rnacentral:rRNA from 1 species